AACGAACGCUGGCGGCAGGCCUAACACAUGCAAGUCGAGCGAGGACUUCGGUCCUAGCGGCGGACGGGUGAGUAACGCGUGGGAACGUGCCCUUUGCUUCGGAAUAGCCCUGGGAAACUGGGAGUAAUACCGGAUGAGCCCUUUGGGGGAAAGAUUUAUCGGCGAAGGAUCGGCCCGCGUUGGAUUAGGUAGUUGGUGGGGUAAUGGCCUACCAAGCCGACGAUCCAUAGCUGGUUUGAGAGGAUGAUCAGCCACACUGGGACUGAGACACGGCCCAGACUCCUACGGGAGGCAGCAGUGGGGAGUCUUAGACAAUGGGGGAAACCCUGAUCUAGCCAUGCCGCGUGAGCGAUGAAGGCCUUAGGGUUGUAAAGCUCUUUCAGCUGGGAAGAUAAUGACGGUACCAGCAGAAGAAGCCCCGGCUAACUCCGUG
rnacentral:rRNA from 1 species